rfam:Hordeum vulgare subsp. vulgare, WGS project CAJW01000000 data, contig: morex_contig_2112971
UAAAUACUCCUUCCCUUUCAAAAUUCUUGUCUUAGAUUUGUCUAUAAAUUGAUGUAUCUAAAUACUAAAAUAUGACUAGAUACAUUCAUAUCUACACAAAUGUAAGACAAGAAUUUUGAGACGAAGGGAGUAUAAG